AAAUGAUCAGAAUCAGGUGUCCUAAUCACUUGGCCCGGCCACAGGUGUAUAAAAUCAAGCACUUAGGCAUGGAGACUGUUUCUACAAACAUUUGUGAAAGAAUGGGCCGCUCUCAGGAGCUCAGUGAUUUCCAGCGUGGAACUGUUAUAGGAUGCCACCUGUGCAACAAAACCAGUUGUGAAAUUUCCUCGCUCCUAAAUAUUCUAAAGUCAACUGUUGGCUUCAUUAUAAGAAAAUGGAAGAGUUUGGGAACAACAGCAACUCAGCUACGAAGUGGUUGGCCACGUAAACUGACAGAGAGCGGUCAGGGGAUGCAUAGUGCACAGAGGUCACCGACUUUCUGCACAGUCAGUUGCUACAGAGCUCCAAACUUCAUGUGACCUUCCAAUUAGCCUACGCACAGUACGCAGAGAGCUUCAUGGAAUGGGUUUCCAUGGCCGAGCAGCUACAUCUAAGUCAUACAUCACCAAGUCCAAUGCAAAGCGUCAGAUGCAGUGGUGUAAAACACGUCGACACUGGACUCUAGAGCUGUGAAGACGCCUUCUCUGAAGUGUUGAAUCACGCUUUUCCACCUAGCAAUCUGAUGGACGAGUCUUGGUUUGGAGGUUCCCAGGAGAACGGAGUUGGGCUUGGCCCCUUAGUUCCAGUGAAAGGAACUUUGAAUGCUCCAGGAUACCAAAACAUUUUUGGACAAUUUCAUGCUCCCAACCUUGUGGGAACAGUUUGGAGUGGGCCCCUUCCUCUUCCAACAUGACUGUGUGCACCAGUGCACAAAGCAAGGUCCAUAAAGACAUGGAUGACAGAGUCUGGUGUGGAUGAACUUGACUGGCCUGCACAGAGUCCUGACCUGAACCCGAUAAAACACCUUUGGGAUGAAUUAGAACGAAGGCUGAGAGCCAGGCCUUCUCGACCAACAUCAGAGUGUGACCUCACCAAUGCGCUUUUGGAAGAAUGGUAGAAAAUUCCUAUAAACACACUCCGCAACCUUGUGGACAGCCUUCCCAGAAGAGUUGAAGCUGUGAUAGCUGCAAAAGGUGGACUAACGUAUAUAUACUUUUUUUUUAAAUUUACAUUUAUUUUUAAUUUUAAUUCCCCUGCUUGCCUCACUAUGGACUGGACUCUCACAUUAUUAACUGUAACCACUCGGCAUCCAUUGCACCGGUCCCUUUCAAGGUUUCACAUUGUUCCCAUUGGGUUGAGUUUUUUCUUGCCUUGAUGUGGGAUCUGAGUCGUGACGUCAUUGUGGCUUGUGCAGCCCUUUGAGACACUUGUGAUUAAGGUCUAUAUAGAUUAACUUUGAUUGAUUGAUUAUAAAUAAGGAUUACAAUUUCAUAAAACAUUUCAUGUUUGGUAUUUUUUAGGGCUAAAGUUGAUUUAGAGAUUUGAUAAAAAUGAAAAGUGAGAUAAAUAAAGAAUCCAAAAUGUU